rnacentral:rRNA from 1 species
UACGUAGGGUGCGAGCGUUGUCCGGAAUUAUUGGGCGUAAAGGGCUCGUAGGCGGUUUGUCACGUCGGGAGUGAAAACACCGGGCUUAACUCGGUGCUUGCUUUCGAUACGGGCUGACUAGAGGUAUGCAGGGGAGAACGGAAUUCCUGGUGUAGCGGUGAAAUGCGCAGAUAUCAGGAGGAACACCGGUGGCGAAGGCGGUUCUCUGGGCAUUACCUGACGCUCAUGCACGAAAGCGUGGGGAGCAAACAGG